rnacentral:rRNA from 1 species
UACGGGGGGAGCAAGCGUUGUUCGGAUUUACUGGGCGUAAAGGGCGCGUAGGCGGCCACCGCAAGUCGACUGUGAAAUCUCCGGGCUUAACCCGGAAAGGUCAGCCGAUACUGCGGGGCUAGAGUGCAGAAGGGGCAACUGGAAUUCUCGGUGUAGCGGUGAAAUGCGUAGAUAUGCGGAGGAACACCGAUGGCGAAGGCAAUCCCCUGGACCUGCACUGACGCUCAUGCACGAAAGCGUGGGGAGCAAACGAGG